rnacentral:rRNA from 1 species
UGGGGAAUAUUGGACAAUGGGCGAAAGCCUGAUCCAGCCAUGCCGCGUGUGUGAAGAAGGUCUUCGGAUUGUAAAGCACUUUAAGUUGGGAGGAAGGGCAGUAAGCGAAUACCUUGCUGUUUUGACGUUACCGACAGAAUAAGCACCGGCUAACUCUGUGCCAGCAGCCGCGGUAAUACAGAGGGUGCAAGCGUUAAUCGGAAUUACUGGGCGUAAAGCGCGCGUAGGUGGUUCGUUAAGUUGAAUGUGAAAGCCCCGGGCUCAACCUGGGAACUGCAUCCAAAACUGGCGAGCUAGAGUAGGGCAGAGGGUGGUGGAAUUUCCUGUGUAGCGGUGAAAUGCGUAGAUAUAGGAAGGAACACCAGUGGCGAAGGCGACCACCUGGGCUCAUACUGACACUGAGGUACGAAAGCAUGGGGGGCAAACAGG